ensembl:snRNA U6 U6 spliceosomal RNA
GUGCUUGCUUUGGCAGCACAGACACUAAAACUGGAAUGGUACAGGGAAGAUCUGCACGAUCCCAGGGCAAGGAUGACACCUAUUGUGCAAGGUUCCCUUAAAAAAAGA